AAGACCAGUUAUUUAUUUUUAUACGCCUGUAUAAAAUACGGGACGUAUUAUGUGAAACCCCUUGGCGGGCGGCGGGCGGGCGGCGGGCGGAAGGCAUCACUUUGUCCGGACUCUAAUUCAAAUUGUAUUCAUCCGAUCUUCACCAAACUUGGUCAGCAGUUGCAUCUAGUUGAUAUCUAGGCCAAGUUCGAAUAUGGGUCAUGCCGGGUCAAAAACUAGGUCAUAGGGUCAAUAAGUGCAUUUUCAAAGGGGCCACUUUGUCCGGACUCUAUUUCAAAUUGUAUUCAUCCGAUCUUCACCAAACUUGGUCAGCAGUUGCAUCUAGUUGAUAUAUAGGCCAAGUUCGAAUAUGGGUCAUGCCGGGUCAAAAACUAGGUCAUAGGGUCAAUUAGUGCAUUUUCAACGGCGCCACUUUUUUUUGCUUAUUUCCAAAACAAAUACAUCAAUCAUCAGUGUAUCAUCUCCAAUGGCACACGAAUCGGGCGUAUAUUGCUCCGUCAUGCGGCGCUCUUGUUGUGAAUUGUUUUUGUUUUGUUGUUGUCUUAAUUUAAGUGUUUUUAGCUCAGCUGUUUUCGGAGAAAACUCAUGGUAUUUUCAUAGCCAGCUCGUUGUCAGGCGUCUGCAGUUCAUGUCGUGCUAAAACCUUAGCAUUUGCUCUUUUACCUACAACUUCAACCUACUUCAGCUGCACCUUGAUGAGUACUACACGCCAUGUCCAUUUUGGGGUCACUAGGUCAAAGGUCAAGGUCACUGUGACCUCUAAUAUAAAAGUUUAUCAUAGUCUUUAAAAUCAAAGUGCUUCCACCUUCAACUUUGAAACUUCAUAUGUAGAUGCAACUUAAUGAGUUCUACAUGCCACACCCAUUUUUGGGGUCACUAGAUCAAAGGUCAAGGUCACUGUGACCUCUAAUAUAAAACUUUAAAAGGCUUUACAAUCAAAGUGCUUCCACCUACAACUUUGAAACGUUAUAUGUAGAAGCACGUUGAUCAGUUUUACUUACACAUAUCUACAGAUGCAUAGUCUCUGAGAUGCGUUUUUCUCCCCACUUACCUUUCUUCCUUUUCUUCUGACAAGCUUUCAUUUAUUUAAAUCUGCACCCACAGCUGAGCGUUGGCAUCCGCUAUGCGGUGCUCUUGUUUAAAUUUAGGAAAGUGAAACUUGGAUAAUUUAAUUUGUAUAAUUUGAAAAAUUUGUAAAUUAUCUGUUUACAAUUUUGAAUUACCCUAGUUGCUAUUAUUGUUACCAUGUACUCUAGGUAGUUCUAUUUAUAGACAAAAAAGUAGCCACAGGAUAGCAGGAAGGUAGCCAGAAAAGGUAGCCGCUACUAGUUAGCCAGAAAAGGUAGCCGAAACAGGUAGCCGAAAGGUCCAAGUGCCCAGUACAGAUUCAUUUGUCAGAUCUGCGCUCGUGGAUUCAAGAUUCAUAACGACCUGAAGCGUCACAUGAGGAUCCAUACUGGAGAAAGGCCGUUCUCCUGCGCUGUUUGUGGCAAGAGUUUCAACAGGGAGAGUACACUAAAGACACAUUCUAUCGUGCAUCUUAAUGUGUACUCUUAGAUUGGAAGGAACCUUUAUGGAAAGAAAAUGCUUAAAAGUCACACAAUUGUGCAUCCUAAAGCAUAGUUGGAUUGGUAUGGACAUUUAGUAAGAGAAUGCUUAAAGGGCAAGCAAUUGUGCAUCCUAAAGAAUAGAUCAGAGAGGCUGUGACAAUCAUCUUCAAUAUCAGCAGUUCUGAAAAGUUGUUUUACUCUCAGUAGAGAACUUUGUGAAAAUGCAAUUAUUUGAAGUGGCAAAUGGGACUUCACCAGUUAAAAAAAAUAUUAUUCUCAUAGAAAACCCUUUACCACACAGACAAUCAUGUUUGUAGUCCCUAAGAAAUUUAAAUAAUAAUUAAUGACAUUUCUUACCUGAUUACAGGUUAAAAGUCUUCAUUUCCAACCCUAGUUUACUGAUGAGCAGCAAACAGCAUAAAACCUGAGCAGACUGCAGUUACUGACAGGGUGUUCUGGUUUUAUGCUGGUAUCAUAUAGCCAUUUUAAAUGUUCUUCUCAUCGGAGAGGGUUAAUAUAGACUUCCUGGGUUCUGUGUGUCAAAGCAAUGAUAUAAAGAAAGAAAGGGGACUUCAGCUGCUUUUAAACACUUUUAUUCUCAUAGUUAACCCUUGAUCACUCAGAAGCAAGCUCGAAAUGUCUAUUUGCAACCAGCAUAAAACUAUAACAGGCUCUUCAAGUUUAUGCUGUUAGCUGCUCAUCAGUACCAUUGUUGGAAAAAGCAGUCUUUUAAACUUGAUCAAGAAAGAAAGGUUGUUAUUUUAAUUUCAUUUUCUAAGGGACUACACAUAGGGAAACAAUGGUUCUGUGCUGUAAAGGGCUAACAACAGAAUGUCUGAAGUGCAAAAUAUAAAGACACAUUCUGGUUGUUAAGCAUGUGUUUUUGUGCACAGUAUGUUGAAUAUAAAAGUUACUAUUUUAGACAUGCACUGUUGUUUUCCGAACUUUGUGCAUGGUCUGCAAUACAAACUCAGACACACAAAUGUAAAUGUUUGAUGUUACCUACCAGUGUCUAAUCAUCUUAAUAAAUGUAUUGUGUUUGUAGUUAUCCACGCCGAAAAAAAAUUCGGAGGGGAUAUAGUAAUUGGUUCUGUCCGUCUGUCCCUCCGGCUGAAACUUUGUCAGGAGCAUAACUCCAAAUCUAUUCAAUGGAUUUACUUUAAACUUAGAAUAUAAACAGAUGGCAACUAGGAGAAGUGGAGUGACCAAGAACCAUAACUCAAUCUACCUUAGUUUUUGAAUUAUCUCCCCUUUUAUAUAACUUUAAAGUAAAUUUUUGUCCAGAGCAUAACUCUAAAUAUACUAAAGGGAUUUUCUUGAUAUAUAAACAGAUGGCAACUAGGAGAAGAGUAGUGACCAAGAACCACAACUCUAUCUACCUUAGUUUUUGAAUUAUCUACCCUUUUAUAUAAUUUUAAAAUAAAUUUUUGUCGGGAGCAUACCACUAAAUCUACUGAAGGGAUUACUUAAAACUUAAAAUAUAAACAGAUGGCAACUAGGAGAAAAGCAGUGAUCAAGAACCACAACUCUAUCUACCUUAGUUUUUGAAUUAUCUCCCCUUUUAUAUAACUAAAGUAAAUUUUGUCCGGAGCAUAACUCAAAAUCUAUCCAAUGGAUUUACUUAAAACUUAGAAUAUAAACAGAUGGCAACUAGGAGAAGUGCAGUGACCAAGAACCAUAACUCUAUCUACCUUAGUUUUUGAAUUAUCUCCCCUUUUAUAUUACUUUGAAGUAAAUUUUUGUCUGGAGAAUAACUCUAAAUCUACUGAAGUGAUUUACUUGAAACUUGAAAUAUAAACAGAUGGCAACUAGGAAAAGUGCAGUGACCAAGAACCAUAACUCUAUCUACCUUAGUUUUUUUUAAAUUAUCUCCCCUUUUAUAUAAUUUUAAAGUAAAUUUUUGUCCAGAGAAUAACUCUAAAUCUACUGAAGGGAUUUACUUGAAACUUGAAAUAUAAACAGAUGGCAACUAGGAGAAGUGCAGUGACCAAGAACCACAACUCUAUCUACCUUAGUUUUUUAAUUAUCUCCCCUUUUAUAUAAUUUUAAAGUAAAUUUUUGUCCGGAGCAUAACUCUAAAUCUACUGAAGGGAUUUAUUUGAAACUUGAAAUAUAAACAGAUGGAAAGUAGGAAAAGUGCAGUGACUGAGAACCAUAACUAUCUGCCUUAGUUUGUGAAUUAUCUCCCAUUUUAGAUAAUUUAAAGUAAAUUUCUGUCCGGACCAUAACUCUAAAUCUACUGAAGGGAUUUACUUGAAACUUGAAAUAUAAACAGAUGGCAACUAGAAGAAGUGCAGUGACCAAGAACCACAACUUUAUCUACCUUAGUUUUUGAAUUAUCUCCCCUUUUAUAUAACUAAAAAGUAAAUUUUUAUCAGGAGCAUAACUCUAAAUCUACUGAAGGGAUUUACUUGAAACUUGAAACUUAAACAGAUGGCAAGUAGGAGAAGUGCAGUGACUAAGAAGCAUAACUCUAUCUACCUAAGUGUUUGAAUUAUUUCCCUUUAUUUAAUUUAAAAGUAAAUUUUUGUCCCGAGCAUAAUGAAUUAUCUCCCUUUAUUUGUUUUUACAAAUAUUAUUCUACUCUCUAAAACAAAUGUCGUCAUACAAGCAAACACAUUUCGGCGGGGAUUUGGCACUACUGUGACAAGCUCUUGUUGAAUUUAUGGUUUAAGUAUCAUACAAUUUAUUUUUCAGACUGUGAACAUAUCUUUUGUGUAUAUGUUCCGUUUUGUGCCUAUAUUGUUCCGAUCCAAAUAACAAGAAAUAAAAAGAAAUUUGACCCAACUUGCUUUUUGUUUUGACCUUUUAUCUAGAAGACUUUAACUUUUCAUUAAAUGCUGUUACAAUGAAUACUGUUUUAGAUCCUAUACUGGAACGGAUUUCAACAAAAUUAAAAACUAGCAUAAAUACUGGUAUAUUAUAAUUUAUUUUAUGACAUGAUCAUGAACAAAGUUUAGUGUAUGAAAAGAAAAGAAAGCGUCGAAAAGUGGGUCAAUAAUAGACAUCACACGUAUUUUAUUGUCAGCCAGCUAGAAGACUGCCUGAUUGUCUUGCUUUGUUUUGUGUUUUUAAAUGUGCAUGCAAAUGCUAUUCAUUUAGAAGUAACAUUUAUGUUAAUAAUGAAGUCUAUACCAUUUCAAAAUGUAAUAUUUUUCGUCAUGUUUAUAACUGCAGGUCCGAUUCCCCUGGAGAACAGAUACGCCUGCCAGUACUGCUGUAGAGGCUUCAAGAUUCACAAUGACCUCAUGCGUCAUACUCUGAUACACACUGGAGAUUAACCUUUCACAUGCGAUGUGUGUGGAAAGAAAUUUAAUGUUUUUCUUAAUUUUAUAACUGCAGGUCCGAUUCCCCUGGGGUACAGAUACACCUGCCAGUACUGCGGUAGAGGCUUCAAGAUUCACAAUGACCUCGUGCGGCACACUCUGAUACACACUGGAGAGAAACCUUUCACAUGCGAUGUGUGUGGAAAGAAAUUUAACCGCAAAAGCAAUCUGAAAACGCAUUCUCUUGUGCACCUGAAAUUAUAAAUAUGGGAUAUAUGUCUUAGAAUCAUGGGAUGUUAAGUGUUGGGUCGAUUACAGUGUCUAAGAGUCAGUGGUAACAAUAAUCUGUCAUGCAUCUCAAGCUGACAUCUGGGAUUUAAAACUGGGUCACUGACUGUUACUGUCUUUUUUUUAGCUCAUCUAUUUUGUUAAAAAAAAAUAUGAGCUAUUUUCAUCACUUUGGUGUUUUGUGUUUGGUCCACUUUACCCCUAAAGUAUCAUAGAUAUUGCUUUCAUACUUGUAACACUCGCAAACUAUCAUAAGGGGACAGUAAAGGAAAAGUUACAUAACUCUGGUUGUCAUUUUUACGAAAUAAUGGCCAUUUUUUGACUUAGUAACUUUGAAUAUCUAGUUAAAUUUUGUGUUUAGAUCCACUUUACUGCUAAAGUAGAUUGCCUUCAAACUUCAAAUACUUUCAUGCUUUCAUGAGGGUACUGUACCUGGCAAGUUGAUUUUUGUCUUGACCUUUGAAUGACCUUGACUCUCGAGGUCAAAUUAUUAAAUUUUGCUAAAAUUGCCAUAACUUCCUUAUUUAUGAUGAUUUUUUUUUUGUAUUUUUUUAAAUACUGUCCAACCAUCCCACCCAAGAAUCCCCCCCCCCCCUCCCCCCCAAAAAAUUGCAUUUUUUUGCAUUUUUAAAAGAAAAUUUAAUAAAUUACCAAACCCCACACCACUCCACCCCUCCUUCCUUUGUGAUUGAAAUUGAGAUAGGUCCCUUCACCUUUAAAAAGAAAAAUAGAUGAGCGGUCUGCACCCGCAAGGCGGUGCUCUUGUUACAUUUUUACGAUGGUUAUCUUUUGUGUCAGAAAUCAAAUUGAUCUUAGACAUAUGGUUUUUAUUAAACAUUUGGUUACAAUGCAAACUCUUAAUAGUUUAAUAUUUGGGUCUGUGAAUACAAGACUGUUUACACUUAAGUCAAAUUGUCUAGUGCAUCUUGAUAAGAAUUAAAAUAUGUUAUAUUCUGAGGUAAUUCAUAGUGACUUAAAGUUAAUGUGUGCUAUGAUGAAAUUGAAUCUAUAUUGUUUGCUUAACAGUUGUGUUUCUUACAACUGAUUGCUGUGUUGUCAAUAUCAUUCCCAGGGAUAUUUGUGAAUAAAAGUCAUUCAAAUUGCUAAGAUAUGCCUGUAUUGCAUUAUUUUUUGUUGUGUUUCAGAAGCUCACCUGGGCCCAUGGUGAGCUAUUGCGGCAUUUCUUUGCCCCGCCUCGUCCGUCGUGCAUCCUCAACUUUUAAGCGUUACCUCUCCAGACACCACAUUUUGCAUACAAUCUUUAUGAGACUUGGUCAGAAUAUUUUUCUUGACAAUAUCUAUAAUGAUUUUUAAAUCUUAGCCUGGUGAAUCCAAAAACUAGGUCACCAGGUCAAAUCAUAGAAAAACCUUUUGACCAUUUGAGAGACUUCAUUUUUUACUCAAUUCUGAUGGAACAUGGUCUGAAAAAUUGCCUUGACAAUAUAUAGGUCCAGUUUUAAACUGGACUUAGUGCCUCUAAAAACUAGGUCACUAACAAUGUUGUGUACAUGUUAUGCAUACUUUUAUCAUGUUUAUACUUUCAGCGCAUUUGAUUAGUAAUUUUUUAAAUAUCUUUUAGCUGUUUAUAUUGGCUUUGUAGACACAAAUAUUUUAGCUGUUAAUAUAGAAACGUUGUAUUGGCUCUAGGAUUUUGAAAGAAUUUGAAUUCCGAUUCAAUGUCAACAACCUGUUCCUGUUUUCAGAUGUAUCUAAAUGGUUGGGAACUGGGGAAAGAGAGGACGGCCAGUUGGACGAAGGUGAACUAUUCUUCUUAAAGUCUAAACCUGCAGGCCCGUCUACAGACGGUGAACUAGCCACUUCAGAUGUUUCUGAUAGCAUAGCCUUGAGCGAAUUUAGCCCCCUGGACAUUGCUGACAGCCAAGCCAUAUUCCCAUGUGAGUUGUGCGGAAAAAUCCUCAGGCACAAGCGCUCAUUGAAUAAACAUAUGCUUUCACACUCGGAUAGUUUUCAAGACCGAUUUGUCUGCCAGCAGUGUGGUCUAGGCUUCAAGAAAAACAGUGACUUUGAACGUCAUCUUCUCACCCAUACUGGAGAAAAACCAUUUGAAUGCGAGGUGUGCGGGAAAAGAUUUAACCGUAAAGGCAAUCUAAAGUUGCAUUUCGAUAAGCACUUUCCCAAAUAGAAUUGUGGUACCACCUUGAGCUAUGGGGUAUAAAAUGUCAAAUAGAACUAUUCGAUAUAAAACCUUAAAUAGAACUAUUGGAUAUACAACGUGAACUUUGGGAUAUAAAAUGGUAAUUGAUCUUUUGGAUAUAAAACCUGAAAAAGAACUACAUGUAUAGGAUAUACAACGUCAAAUAGAGCUAUUGGAUGUAAAACCUGAAAUAGAACUAUAGGAUAUGAAACGUCAAAUAGAAUAUGGGAUAUAAAAUGGAAAUAUAACUAUUGGAUAUAAAACGUGAAAUGGAAUUAUUGGAUAUACAUCGUCAAAUCGAGCUAUGGGAUAUAAAACGUGAAAUAUAGCUAUGGGAUAAAAAACGUGAAGUAGAACUUAGGAUAUGAAAGGUCAAAUAGAACUAUGGGAUAUUAAAAAUCAAAUAGAGCUAUGGGGUAUAAAGCGUGAAAUAGAGAGCUAUGGAAUAUAGAAGGUCAAAUGGAACUAUGGGAUAUAAAACGUGAAAUAGAGCUAUUGGAUAUAUAACGUAAAAUAGAGCUAUGAUGAAUAAAACAUCAAAUAGAGCGAUGGGAUAUAAAACAUGAAAUAGAACUAUUGGAUGUAAAAUGUGAAAUAACACUAUCGGGUAUAAAACAUGAAAUAAAACUAUCAGAUAUAAAGCGUAAAAUAGAGCUAUGGUGUACAAAACAUCAACUAGAGCAAUGGGAUAUUACACGUGAAAUAGUACUAUUGGGUACAAAAUGUGAAAUAGAACCAUCGGAUAUAAAACAUGAAAUAAAACUAUCUGAUAUUUAACGUGAACUAAAGCUUUGGGAUAUAAAUGUGAAAUAGAGCUAUGGGUUAUAAAACUUGAAAUAGAUCUAUUAGGUAUAUAACAUCAAACAGAAGUAUGGGAUAUGAAACGUCAAAUAAAAAUAUGGGAUAUAAAACAUGAAAUAGCGCUAUUGGAUAUAAAAGGUCGAAUAGAGCUAUUGGAUAUAUAUUGUCAAAUAAACCUAUUGGAUAUAACAUGUGAAAUAAAGCUAUGGGAUAUAAAACAGCAAACAUAACUAUGGGAUAUAACAUGUGAAAUAGAACUUAUGAAUAUAAAACUUGAAAUACAAUUAUUGAAUAUAAUACUUGAAAUAGAGCUAUGGGGUAUACAACAUGAAAAAGAACUAUGGGAUGAAAAACAUGAAAUAGAGGUAUGGGAUGUAUAAGGUCAACUAGAACCCGCUGAUAUAAAGUUUAAUAGAAACCAGGGAAAUAAAAAAUCAAAUAGAGCUACGGGAUAAAUAAUCUCAAAUAUGACCCUGGGAUAUUAAAUGUAAAUUGGAAAUAAAUAAUUAAAUAGAACUGUGGGAUAUAAAAGAUUGAAUAUAACUGUGGGAUAUAAAAGGUCAAAUAGAACUGUGGGAUAUAAAAGGUUAAAUAGAACUAUGGGAUAUAAAACGUCAAAUAGAACUGUAGGGUAUAAAAGGUAAAAUAAAACCAAGGGAUAUAAAAGGUUGAAUAGAACUGUGGGAUAUAAAAGGUAAAAAAGACCUGUGGCAUAUAACACGUCAAAUAGAACUAUGGGAUAUAAAAGGUUAAAUAUAACUGGGAAAUAAAAAGUUAAAUAGAACUGUGGGAUAUAAAAAGGUUAUAUAGAACUGUGGGAUAUAAAAGGUCAAAUAGAACUGUGGGAUAUAAAAGUUUAAAUAGAACUUGGAUAUAAAAGGUUAAAUAGAACUGUGUGAUAUAAAAGGUUAAAUAGAACUGUGAGGUAUAAAAUGUUGAAUAGAAUUGUGGGUUAUAAUGCGUCAAAUAGAACUGGGAUAUAAAACGUUGGGUCAAUGACUGUCACUAACAGCCAGUGGUAAAAUUGCUGAGGUAAUUAAUCCGUCUUGCAUCUCAAGCAUACCUUUUGGAUUUAGAACUGGGUCAUGGACAAGUUUUGACUUAGAACAUGGUUUCAAUGGAAUCACAUUCUCUGGCAUUUUAACGCCAACUCUUAACAUUUCAAUGGCUCAGCGUGAACAAGAGACAAAAUAACAAUUGCAAUCAAAUAUAUUUUUAAUGCAAAAUGUCAAGAAUUCAAAGAUGUUAAAUUAUUACGUCCGUGACAUAAGGUAACUGUGUGCUAGGAUGACAUUGAAUGGAUCUUUGCUUCAAGUCAUGAGAACAUUUAUUUCAGUGUUCAACUAGAGCUGUGGUAGCAUAUUGACUGUAUAUCGUUUACAAUGAUUUUCUUGAUAUUAACUCUCACUAAGAAUGACUUGAAUAUUGGAUGUUUUGUAAGUUUUGUGUAAAUUUGAAAUCUAAAAAAUUGUUUGUUGUGUAAAGUUGUAUUUGUUUUGUUUACAUGUAAAAUCUGAAAUUGGUAGCGUAACAUUUGCAUUCCUUACAACUGAUUGUUGUUUGUUGUCAUUUGAUUGUGACAUAAAAUUCUGAAUUAAUUCAUAUUGCGAAUGUAUGCCUGUACUGUUAUGUUAUUGUGUUUUAUUAAUUUACCUGAGCUCAUUGUGAGCUAUUGUUGUCUUUUGUCAUCUAUUUGUUUGUUGUCAACUUGUAGUGCAUUUACGCUCAAGAAGGCACAUUUCUACAAUGCGUUCAAAUCUUGUUAAUGUGAAUCCAAAAACAAGGUCUUCAGUUCAAAUCUUUAAAAAAAACUACUAAAUUCGUUUCCACUGUAGAAUCAAUCUUUAAAAGUUUAAUUCAAUCUUUAUAAAACGUGGUCAUAAUGUUUAUCUUUUCAAUAUCUUGGCUGAGACUGAAUGUCGGUCGUGUGCAUCCAAAAACUAGGUCACCAUAUCAAAUCAUUAAAAAAACGUGUUGCCACUAUGGAGGUCUUAAUUAUUUCUUAAUAUAAAAGAAUUUGAUCAGAAUGUUUAUCUUGACAGUAUAUAGUUUCAGUUCAAACCAGGGUGACGUUUAUCAUAAUAAAACAAGGUCACUAUAUCAAAUCUUAACAAAAUAAUGUUACAAAUCUAGAAGCCACAUAAAUGACUCAAUAUUGAUGAACUAGGUAAGAAGGUUCAUCAUGACAAUAUGCUUAGUCAGAAUCUGGUUCACAAAUUAAAAGACGAUACAUCUGAGGUGUUUGACCGUGACUUUAAGUACAUGUCUGUAAUGUUUGUUAAAUUGAUAUUUGCCUUUUGUCACAAGAACAUUCAUUAUGGUGUUUAAGAGCUGUUGUGAUAUCAUAUUGACUGUAUAUGUGUGUAUGAUAGCAUAUUGACUGUAUGUGUGUAUGAUAGCAUAUUGACUGUAUGUGUGUAUGAUAGCAUAUUGACUGUAUAUAUACUAUGUGUGUUUGAUAGCAUAUUGAAUGUAUGUGUGUAUGAUAGGAUAUUGACUGUAUGUGUGUAUGAAAGCAUAUUGACUGUAUGUGUUUAUGAUAUCAUAUUGACCGUAUAUGUGUGUAUGAUAUCAUAUUGACUGUAUGUGUGUUUGCUAGCAAAUUGACUGUAUGUGUGUAUGAUAGCAUAUUGACUGUAUGUGUGUAUGAUAUCAUAUUGACUGUAUGUGUGUAUGAUAUCAUAUUGACUGUAUAUGUGUGUAUGAUAGCAUAUUGACUGUAUAAAUGUGUAUGAUUUUUAUACGGCUCUUUGAAAACAAACUCUCACUCUAAAAGACUUGUAUAUUGUAUGUUGUGUUAGUUUAAAUAUGAAAUAUUUCAAGCAACAUUUUUAUUCCUAAUGAAAGUUGUUUUGUCAGUUUGAUUGUCGCGGGAAAUUUUGAAUAAAAGUCAUUUAGAAUGCAAAGGUAUUCCAGUACGGUAUAGUUUUGUUGCUGUCUUUUAUUUUCUCACCUGAUCACAAAGUACCCAAUGUGAGCUAUUGUGGGCAUCUUAUGUCUGUCAUCAAUUUUUAGCUCCUGACCGCUUAAUGUUUAUGAAACUUUGACAUUAUUUUUUUACCAUACCUUGAAAUAAUUCAAAUCGUUAUCAUGUGAAUCAAAAAAGGUCACCAGAUCAAAUGUUAGAUCUCUAACCUCUCAAGAAUCAUAUGUAUUUCUCAACCUGGAUGGAAAGUGAUCAGAAUGUUUAUCUUAACAAUAUCUAGUCAGAGAUCGAACCUGGGUCACAUGCAUCUAAAAACAUUGUCACCAGAUUAAGAUUUAAUCUGAGAAAAAACUUGUUUCUAGUCUUAAGGCCACAUUAAUGACUCAAUGAUUUGGUGAAAAUGUUUUAUCUUAAUAAUAUCUAAGCUGAGGUUGAAUCCAUGUCACAUAAAUACAAAAAAUAGGUCAAGUCCGAUAAAAACGUUGUUACUCCUCUAGAGGCAUCAUUUAUAUCGCAAUAUGAAAGAAAUUGUAUCAAAACUUGUAUCUUUACAGUAUCUUGAUAAUGAAUAUGCCAAGUCAGAAUCUGGAUCAAGUUUUCAAAGAGUUUAAUUCUUAGGUCAUUGAGUGACUUAAAGUAAAUGUAUCUUGGCUCCUUGUCAUUAGAACAUUCAGUUAAGUGUUCACCUGCAGCUCCCUAAGAAAGUCUGGUAUAUUGUAUGUGUGUUUGUUUUUAGUACAUUUAAAUCUGAAUUUUGUCUUGUUACACUUGUAUUCCUUAUAACUAAUUGCUGUCUAGUCAAUUUGAUUGUCAUGGAUUAUUGUGAAUAAAAAACAUUAAAAUUGCAAAAGUA